AGCAGCCGCGGUAAUUCCAGCUCCAAUAGCGUAUAUUAAAGUUGUUGCAGUUAAAAAGCUCGUAGUUGAAUUUCGAGACCGGUCUACUGGUCGUGCUUUUGUACGUACUGGUUUUAUUGGUUUCUCCUUUCUGACGAACUAUAAUGCCAUUAAUUUGGUGUUAUGGGGAAUCAGGACUGUUACUUUGAAAAAAUUAGAGCGUUUAAAGCAGGCUCACGCUUGAAUACAUUAGCAUGGAAUAACGGAAUAGGACGUUUGAUUCUAUUUUGUUGGUUUCUAGGAUCGACGUAAUGAUUAAUAGGGAUAGUUGGGGGCAUUAGUAUUCAAUUGUCAGAGGUGAAAUUCUUGGAUUUAUUGAAGACUAACUACUGCGAAAGCAUUUGCCAAGGAUGUUUUCAUUAAUCAAGAACGAAAGUUAGGGGAUCGAAGACGAUCAGAUACCGUCGUAGUCUUAACCAUAAACUAUGCCGACUAGGGAUCGGAUGAUGUUAAUUUUUAAUGACUCAUUCGGCGCCUUACG
rnacentral:rRNA from 1 species